GACGAACGCUGGCGGCGUGCUUAACACAUGCAAGUCGAACGGAAAGGCCCUGCUUUUGUGGGGUGCUCGAGUGGCGAACGGGUGAGUAACACGUGAGUAAGCUGCCCUUGACUUUGGGAUAACUUCAGGAAACUGGGGCUAAUACCGGAUAGGAGCUCCUGCUGCAUGGUGGGGGUUGGAAAGUUUCGGCGGUUGGGGAUGGACUCGCGGCUUAUCAGCUUGUUGGUGGGGUAGUGGCUUACCAAGGCUUUGACGGGUAGCCGGCCUGAGAGGGUGACCGGCCACAUUGGGACUGAGAUACGGCCCAGACUCCUACGGGAGGCAGCAGUGGGGAAUAUUGCACAAUGGGCGGAAGCCUGAUGCAGCAACGCCGCGUGCGGGAUGACGGCCUUCGGGUUGUAAACCGCUUUCGCCUGUGACGAAGCGUGAGUGACGGUAAUGGGUAAAGAAGCACCGGCUAACUACGUG
rnacentral:rRNA from 1 species